AGUGAACGCUGGCGGUAGGCCUAACACAUGCAAGUCGAACGGCAGCACAGUAAGAGCUUGCUCUUACGGGUGGCGAGUGGCGGACGGGUGAGGAAUACAUCGGAAUCUACUUUUUCGUGGGGGAUAACGUAGGGAAACUUACGCUAAUACCGCAUACGACCUACGGGUGAAAGCAGGGGAUCUUCGGACCUUGCGCGAUUGAAUGAGCCGAUGUCGGAUUAUCUAGUUGGCGGGGUAAAGGCCCACCAAGGCGACGAUCCGUAGCUGGUCUGAGAGGAUGAUCAGCCACACUGGAACUGGGACACGGUCCAGACUCCUACGGGAGGCAGCAGUGGGGAAUAUUGGACAAUGGGCGCAAGCCUGAUCCAGCCAUACCGCGUGGGUGAAGAAGGCCUUCGGGUUGUAAGGCCCUUUCGUUGGGAAAGAAAAGCAGCAGGUUAAUACCCCGCUGUUCUGACGGUACCCAAAGAAUAAGCACCGGCUAACUUCGUG
rnacentral:rRNA from 1 species